rnacentral:rRNA from 1 species
UAAUACGGAGGAUCCAAGCGUUAUCCGGAAUCAUUGGGUUUAAAGGGUCCGUAGGCGGCCCUGUAAGUCAGUGGUGAAAUCUCACGGCUCAACCGUGAAAUGGCCAUUGAUACUGCAGGGCUUGAAUUAUUGGGAAGCAACUAGAAUAUGUAGUGUAGCGGUGAAAUGCUUAGAUAUUACAUGGAAUACCGAUUGCGAAGGCAGGUUGCUACCAAUGGAUUGACGCUGAUGGACGAAAGCGUGGGGAGCGAACAGGAUUAGAUACCCUGGUAGUCCACGCCGUAAACGAUGGAUACUAGCUGUUGGGCGCAAGUUCAGUGGCUAAGCGAAAGUGAUAAGUAUCCCACCUGGGGAGUACGGGCGCAAGCCUG